rnacentral:rRNA from 1 species
AACGAACGCUGGCGGCAUGCCUAACACAUGCAAGUCGAACGAGACCUUCGGGUCUAGUGGCGCACGGGUGCGUAACGCGUGGGAACCUGCCCUUAGGUUCGGAAUAACUCCCCGAAAGGGGUGCUAAUACCGGAUAAUGUCUUCGGACCAAAGAUUUAUCGCCUUUGGAUGGGCCCGCGUUGGAUUAGCUAGUUGGUAGGGUAAAAGCCUACCAAGGCGACGAUCCAUAGCUGGUCUGAGAGGAUGAUCAGCCACACUGGGAUUGAGACACGGCCCAGACCCCUACGGGAGGAGGGAGGGGGGAAUUGUGGAAAAGGGGGGAAAGCCUGAUCCCGCAAUGCCGGGUGAGUGAUGAAGGCCUUGGGGUUGUAAAGCUCUUUUACCCGGGAUGAUAAUGACAGUACCGGGAGAAGAAGCCCGGGCUAACUCCGU